rnacentral:rRNA from 1 species
AUUGAACGCUGGCGGCAGGCCUAACACAUGCAAGUCGAACGAGGGGCGGACGGGUGAGGAAUGUCUGGGAAACUGCCCGAUGGAGGGGGAUAAAUACGGGAAACGGUAGCUAAAACCGCAUACAAGUGGCUGUGCGCAGGUGGGAUUUGCUGGAAGGUGGGUGAAAGGCUCACCUAGGCGACGAUCCCUAGCUGGUCUGAGAGGAUGACCGGCCACACUGGAACGGAGACACGGUCCAGACUCCUACGGGAGGCAGCAGUGGGGAAUAUUGCACAAUGGGCGCAAGCCUGAUGCAGCCAUGCCGCGUGUAUGAAGAAGGCCUUCGGGUUGUAAAGUACUUUCAGCGAGGAGGCGUUACUCGCAGAAGAAGCACCGGCUAACUCCGUGCCAGCAGCCGCGGUAAUUC